ACGCUCGACACCUACGGGAGGCAGCAGUGGGGAAUAUUGCACAAUGGGGGAAACCCUGAUGCAGCGACGCCGCGUGGAGGAAGAAGGUCUUCGGAUUGUAAACUCCUGUUGUUGGGGAAAAAGNGGAUGGUACCCAACAAGGAAGUGACGGCUAACUACGUGUCAGCAGCCGCGGUAUCUGAGGCGGGCUGGCGAAGGC
rnacentral:rRNA from 1 species